rnacentral:rRNA from 1 species
UACGGGGGGAGCAAGCGUUGUUCGGAUUUACUGGGCGUAAAGGGCGCGUAGGCGGCGCAACAAGUCACUUGUGAAAUCUCCGGGCUUAACCCGGAGCGGCCAAGUGAUACUGUCGUGCUAGAGUGCGGAAGGGGCUACUGGAAUUCCUGGUGUAGCGGUGAAAUGCGCAGAUAUCAGGAGGAACACCGGUGGCGAAGGCGGGUCUCUGGGCCGUAACUGACGCUGAGGAGCGAAAGCAUGGGAAGCGAACAGG